UUUUUUUUUAAACUUCACUGCUCUGAGUCAGAAGCCAGAAUGGAUGUCCUACUUGUAGUCAUAGCUGCUGUGCCGCUCAUCUUGGGACAAGAAUAUGAGGAAGAACAAAUAUAUGAAGGAAUAUAUGAAGAUUAUCAGGUGGUCUAUUACACAGUCACUCCAUAUUACGAUGACUUUGGAGUCAACUUUACCCUUGACUAUUCCCAAUUUGAGGAGGAGGAUAGAAUGGCCAGUACUCAGUCCACUACACCAAAGGAGAGAUUAUACACAGAGAAGAACUGGGGCCAAGAAGGAAAAGAAGAUGGCCCCAGGGACAGAAAAGAAUCUACCACAGAGGCACCUUCAGCUAUGGAUGCUGCUGUGCCCACUCUGCAGCAUCACCUCCCACUCCUCCUUCUGCCCUGGGUUCUGCUGAGGUGGAUAUUGCUACUUUAGAAGGAGAGAGAAGGCUGCCAUGACUUCUUUGAAAAGGGGGUGGGGGGGGAGUGGAGUGCAGAAACUGGAAAAAGAAAUAAAUAAUUGAACCACAA
rnacentral:lncRNA from 1 species